GUUCCACUCUGAGGACACAGCGCAAAGUUGGCAGUCUGCAUCCCAGAAGAGGGCUUUCACCACAUCCAGAGCCUUCCAGCCUUCAGAACUACUCAGAAUGUUAGAUCCAAUUUACACAGCUCAUCUGGCUAGACGAUCCAUCAGUAUCCACUGAUCCUGAAAAGAUGACUCAGCACAGCUUCAUACCUCUUCUUACUUAGAAUCACCCCCUGUGCCUCCUCUCCCUCUCCCUGUCUAAGAAGAGUCAGAAAGAGCAGAGUACAAGAAUUAUAGAGCAACAUGAGUGAGCUCCUGCAAGUCUUUGAAGCCUACAAAGCAAUUUUUUUUUUUUUUGGCCAGCUUCUUUUGGCAGAGAAAAGUAGAGGACGGAAGGCCAUGGAAAUGUGCCAGAUGACCACCUAAGGGGCAUUGAUUUACUACUUGGAGAGUGACCAAUGAACACUGUGCGGCCUGAGAGCAUGGAUUUUGGAAUGAGACACACCUGGAUUUCAUUCCUGCCUCCACUAUUAUUCUUUACGUAAUUUAAGAUUACUGACUCUUUGGUUUAACAUCUGUAAAGUAAGAACAAACACCAAGCAUACUUAACUAGCUGUGAGAGCUAAAGAAGUAACAUAAUGUUUAUGAUGAUAAUAAAAAGCAUACA